UCCAUACCUAGAAUAUUUGGACUAAACUAAAAUUGAGAUAAUAGAGACUAGCAUGGUCCCUGCGGAAAGGUGACAUGCAAAUUUGCGAAGCAUUCCAUAUUUUU
ensembl:snRNA U6 U6 spliceosomal RNA